rnacentral:rRNA from 1 species
UGAGGAAUAUUGGACAAUGGAGGAAACUCUGAUCCAGCCAUGCCGCGUGCAGGAAGACUGCCCUAUGGGUUGUAAACUGCUUUUAUACAGGAAGAAACCGCUCUACGUGUAGAGCUCUGACGGUACUGUAAGAAUAAGGAUCGGCUAACUCCGUGCCAGCAGCCGCGGUAAUACGGAGGAUCCAAGCGUUAUCCGGAAUCAUUGGGUUUAAAGGGUCCGUAGGUGGAUAAUUAAGUCAGAGGUGAAAUCUUGCAGCUCAACUGUAAAAUUGCCUUUGAUACUGGUUAUCUUGAGUUAUUAUGAAGUAGUUAGAAUAUGUAGUGUAGCGGUGAAAUGCAUAGAUAUUACAUAGAAUACCAAUUGCGAAGGCAGAUUACUAAUAAUAUACUGACACUGAUGGACGAAAGCGUGGGUAGCGAACAGG